rnacentral:rRNA from 1 species
AUAUCAGUCAUGCAUAGCAUAUCAAUAAGCGGAGGAAAAGAAACUAACAAGGAUUCCCUUAGUAACGGCGAGUGAAGCGGGAAGAGCUCAAAUUUGAAAUCUUCAAGGUUUUACCUUGACGAAUUGUAGUUUGAAGAAGUGUUUUCUGUUGAAGUUUUGGUAAAAGUUCUUUGGAAUAGGACAUCAUAGAGGGUGAGAAUCCCGUAUUUGACCAUUACUUUCAGCUUUGUGAUACACUUUCAAAGAGUCGGAUUGUUUGGGAAUGCAGUCCAAAAUGGGUGGUAAAUUUCAUCUAAAGCUAAAUAUUGGCGAGAGACCGAUAGCGAACAAGUACCGUGAGGGAAAGAUGAAAAGAACUUUGAAAAGAGGAGUUAAACAGUACGUGAAAUUGUCAAAAGGGAAGCGUUUGACACCAGUGUUGUUUUCUCGAAAAUCAAUUAAAAAGAGUUGGAUUUUGUGUUGUAUUGACUUUAUCAGCUUUCCUUCACUCUUUUCCAGCUUUUUUUAAUGCACUUUUCGUUUAACAAGUCCACAUCAGUUUCUUUUGUUGUAAAAAGGUCAUUGGAAGGUGGCUUUCUCUUCGGAGAAAGUGUUUAUAGCCUUUGACUCAUGCAAUCGGAGAGACUGAGGUCUGCAGCGUAGAUCCUUCGGGGUUAGAUACAUUUGUGCUAAGUUAUAGCUUUUCAUAGACAACUUGUUGACUAUGUUUAGUCUUGUAGCUUACUCGCUUAUGCUAUUUUACCUACGCUUAGGAUGUUGAACUCUAUCACACACA